CCUACGGGAGGCAGCAGUGGGGAAUAUUGCACAAUGGGGGAAACCCUGAUGCAGCAACGCCGCGUGAGCGAUGAAGGCCUUCGGGUCGUAAAGCUCUGUCCUAAGGGAAGAAUACUGACGGUACCUUAGGAGGAAGCCCCGGCUAACUACGUGCCAGCAGCCGCGGUAAUACGUAGGGGGCUAGCGUUAUCCGGAAUUACUGGGCGGAAAGGGUGCGUAGGCGGCCCUUCAAGUCAGAGGUGAAAGGCUACGGCUCAACCGUAGUAAGCAGUUGAAACGGUAGGGCUGGGGUGGAGGAGAGGGGAGUUGAAGUCCAAGUGUAGGGGUGAAAUGCGUAGAAAUUGGGAGGAACAGAGGUUGAGAAGGCGGCUCGGUGGACUGUAACUGACGCUGGGGCACGAAAGGGUGGGGAGGGAACAGGAUGAGAUACCCUGGGAGUC
rnacentral:rRNA from 1 species